UUAAAAUUGUCUUGUCUGUCUGAUUGUUUUCUUUUUUCCUAGAUGGUUCCAGAAAAAAUAAAUCCAAUUCUUUGUGAGUGUCUACUUUGGAAAUUUGUUGUUUUUUUUUUUUUUUUUCCCUUCUUUGUCAUUCUCUGUGUGAAUUCCAAGGGGCUGCUGAAGAAAAUUUUCUGGGAGCAAAAGGAAGAGAAGAGUCAGUGAAAGACUCAGUUUGCUUUUACUAACGUAACUCUUUCUUACUUGUGGGUGAGCUAUCAGUCAGCCAGCAAUGGGAUUAUCGUUGAAAGCUCACCUAGCUCCUUGACCUCAGGAAACAAGAGUGGACUUCCCCACCAGCCAGCCUCACCCAAGUUCUGCUGCAGAGGCUUUUCCUCCCACACCACCACUGCCCAUCAGGGGUCGGGGCCAGCCUUCUGUGCACAGGGUGCUAGCACUCCCAGAUGGCCUCAACUGAAGGAGGAGAAGUCCAUUUGCGGCAGUGUGCACAGUUUCCAGGAGACUUUGGCCCCUGUCCAAGGGUGAUGUGAGGCUAAGGAGAGGCUUGCCCUUGGCUCUCAUGCUUCUGUCCCGGACAUUGCCUCGCAGUAUUUUCCAAUGCAGCCUCCUUCCUCUUCCUUCCUCUCUGUCCCGCACACGCUGUCAACCUCGGCUUCAACCAGGUAACUGCCGUCUGGUCCCCCUUUGUUAAGGCAUAAACUCCAGGAUAAUCUAUUUCCAUUAUCUUAAGUCCAGCUUGGAAGUACACAACUGAACAGUAUUUGGUUAUUCUUCAGCUUUCUCACCAACUAGUCCAGAUGUUGUUAUUGCCCAUGACCUCUUGGUUUUCCUCGGAAACAGCCUAAUCAGAGGCUCAGGGAACAGAGCUGGGAGAUCCAGAUGAUAUGGUUAGUGUUCUCAGACUAGAGAAUGAAUCUUUCUCCAAUGGGAUGUCCCCAGGGGCACGUCCUAGACAAGCCAGACCUGAGAAAAGAGAAAUCGAUUCAUUUUAGCUAGCUUGCACGUGUGCCUCUCCUGCAUACCCCGAAUCCCCCGCCCCCUGCCCAUAACACCCGUAUCAGGUUUUGAACUUCCCAGCCUCAGUCGUCUCCUCUGUCUCUCUUCUCACGUGGACCCCCUCCUUUGUUGCCUGGCAACGAAAGCCUGUAUAGCAAACUGCUGUCGCUUUCCUAUAGGUCAGUGAGAAAACACCCAAAGCCCCCACAUCAGCACACUUUCCACCCGUGCAAAGAGUGGUGCUACCAAGUGAUAGAAGGAUGAGAGAAAAGCUGAGGGGGCCCAAGACAAUGUCUGUCUGCUUUACAGUUUUUCCUGGGGUCAUUCUUGAGAAUCUUCAACCAUUUCUCUUCAGCUCUCUCCAGCAGUACAAGCUGUUCACAAAGGUGCCA
rnacentral:lncRNA from 1 species